AUGUUGCUCCUGGUCCUCAUGAUAUUUUCGCUUUGUAAGGAUAAUGCUGAUGCUGAAGUAAUAACAUCAUUCUCCUCAAAGCAGCAUGUUUUGUCAGGAAGAGAUGUUACACUUUCCUGCAACUACAGUGGCAAUGUUCGCAGUCUGCAGUGGUACCGUCAGCAUCCCGGAUCCAAACCUGAGCACCUCAUUAUGUUCUUUGAGACCAUCCUCAAAUCAGAGCCCGCUCUCCGUCUGACCGCUGCAGCUGAUAAAGCAGCCAAAAGUAUGAAUCUGACCAUCUCUUCUACAGAAGUGAAAGACUCUGCCGUGUACUAUUGUGCCCUGCAGCCCACAGUGACAGGAAACACAACUGCACUGUACAAAAACAGAGUGAGAAAGUAUAUUUAA